AUGAACGCUAGCUACAGGCUUAACACAUGCAAGUCGAGGGGCAGCAUGGUCUUAGCUUGCUAAGGCCGAUGGCGACCGGCGCACGGGUGAGUAACACGUAUCCAACCUGCCGUCUACUCUUGGACAGCCUUCUGAAAGGAAGAUUAAUACAAGAUGGCAUCAUGAGUCCGCAUGUUCACAUGAUUAAAGGUAUUCCGGUAGACGAUGGGGAUGCGUUCCAUUAGAUAGUAGGCGGGGUAACGGCCCACCUAGUCUUCGAUGGAUAGGGGUUCUGAGAGGAAGGUCCCCCACAUUGGAACUGAGACACGGUCCAAACUCCUACGGGAGGCAGCAGUGAGGAAUAUUGGUCAAUGGGCGAGAGCCUGAACCAGCCAAGUAGCGUGAAGGAUGACUGCCCUAUGGGUUGUAAACUUCUUUUAUAAAGGAAUAAAGUCGGGUAUGGAUACCCGUUUGCAUGUACUUUAUGAAUAAGGAUCGGCUAACUCCGUGCCAGCAGCCGCGGUAAUACGGAGGAUCCGAGCGUUAUCCGGAUUUAUUGGGUUUAAAGGGAGCGUAGAUGGAUGUUUAAGUCAGUUGUGAAAGUUUGCGGCUCAACCGUAAAAUUGCAGUUGAUACUGGAUAUCUUGAGUGCAGUUGAGGCAGGCGGAAUUCGUGGUGUAGCGGUGAAAUGCUUAGAUAUCACGAAGAACUCCGAUUGCGAAGGCAGCCUGCUAAGCUGCAACUGACAUUGAGGCUCGAAAGUGUGGGUAUCAAACAGGAUUAGAUACCCUGGUAGUCCACACGGUAAACGAUGAAUACUCGCUGUUUGCGAUAUACGGCAAGCGGCCAAGCGAAAGCGUUAAGUAUUCCACCUGGGGAGUACGCCGGAAACGGUGAAACUCAAAGGAAUUGACGGGGGCCCGCACAAGCGGAGGAACAUGUGGUUUAAUUCGAUGAUACGCGAGGAACCUUACCCGGGCUUAAAUUGCAGAUGAAUUACGGUGAAAGCCGUAAGCCGCAAGGCAUCUGUGAAGGUGCUGCAUGGUUGUCGUCAGCUCGUGCCGUGAGGUGUCGGCUUAAGUGCCAUAACGAGCGCAACCCUUGUUGUCAGUUACUAACAGGUUCUGCUGAGGACUCUGACAAGACUGCCAUCGUAAGAUGUGAGGAAGGUGGGGAUGACGUCAAAUCAGCACGGCCCUUACGUCCGGGGCUACACACGUGUUACAAUGGGGGGUACAGAGGGCCGCUACCACGCGAGUGGAUGCCAAUCCCAAAAACCUCUCUCAGUUCGGACUGGAGUCUGCAACCCGACUCCACGAAGCUGGAUUCGCUAGUAAUCGCGCAUCAGCCACGGCGCGGUGAAUACGUUCCCGGGCCUUGUACACACCGCCCGUCAAGCCAUGGGAGCCGGGGGUACCUGAAGUGCGUAACCGCGAGGAGCGCCCUAGGGUAAAACUGGUGACUGGGGCU
rnacentral:rRNA from 1 species